rnacentral:lncRNA from 1 species
UCUAGACAUCAUUCUAAGUCUGGUAGACUCCGUGGACAAGAACAACCCAGAAAGUAUAUGCCUCCUUUGCUUGAAGUGGAUGAGCCAGAAUCCUCAGAAAUGACAACCAUGAAGAAUAACAGAAAAAGUGACCCUGAAAAGUCAACUGUGCCCAACACUCCUCCUCCUGAAUUUGAGGCAGCUGGCAAUGGCUUCAUCUCUCCACCGUUUCCCCAGGAUAGAGGCCCCAGAGGCCCUCUCUUUGCAGGGGAUGCAAGAAGCCCUGUUAUGAGUAGGCCACCCCCAUUUCCUCCACCUCCUCCAGGAAACAUGCAUGCAGGGCCUCCAGGUUAUUUUACAUCAAGGGACUUCGAUGGCCCACCCUUCCCACCUGCAGGCCCUCCAGAUUAUUUUCUUCAGAGGGACUUCGCUGGCCCACCCUUCCCACCUGCUCGUCCUCCAGAUUAUUUUUCUCAGAGGGACUUCGCUGGGCCACCUUUCCUGCCAUACCCAGGGAGAAAUGUGUUCGAAUCAAGGGGCUUUCCACCUUUCUUUCCCCCAAGAGCUGGGUUUGUUCCCCCACCCCCACAUGCUGAAAGUAGAAAUGAGCUGCCUCCACAAUUGAUUCUGCCUUCCAAACAACCUGUACCUGCAUGUCUGGAAACACAGGAGACCUGACAGUUUCCUCGGGGGGUCAUUUCUUCUCAUUUUCUCUUUAAGUAAUUGCUAUUACUUAUGUGAUUAUAUUGUUGCUCAAAUCAAAGCUUAAUGGAAU